CCUGGUACACUGCAACUGAUACCAAAGAGAUCAGCACUGGAAAAGCCCAAUGGUGCCACCCCGGUCUUUAAUCCCACUGUUUUCCACUGCCAACAGGCUCUGACUAACCUGCAGCUCCCACAGCCGGCAUUUAUCCCUGCAGUGCCCAUGAUGCACGGUGCUACACCUACCACUGUGUCUGCAGCAACAACACCUGCCACCAGCGUUCCCUUCGCUGCACCAACUACAGGCAAUCAGCUGAAAUUCUGAACAGCAGAGUUAUGGAGUAUCAGAAUCUUUCCAUGGAAACCUCCAUAUGGCCUAUCUAUAUAUAUUCUCGUAUGUCUUAUUCUACCAACACAACAAUAAGCGUGUUGCAGUCAAUGUAUUAAGCAAAGCAAACCUGCCAGCCAGCAAAUUC
rnacentral:sRNA from 1 species